GACGAACGCUGGCGGCGUGCUUAACACAUGCAAGUCGAACGGAAAGGCCCUGCUUUUGUGGGGUGCUCGAGUGGCGAACGGGUGAGUAACACGUGAGUAACCUGCCCUUGACUUUGGGAUAACUUCAGGAAACUGGGGCUAAUACCGGAUAGGAGCUCCUGCUGCAUGGUGGGGUUGGAAAGUUUCGGCGGUUGGGGAUGGACUCGCGGCUUAUCAGCUUGUUGGUGGGGUAGUGGCUUACCAAGGCUUUGACGGGUAGCCGGCCUGAGAGGGUGACCGGCCACAUUGGGACUGAGAUACGGCCCAGACUCCUACGGGAGGCAGCAGUGGGGAAUAUUGCACAAUGGGCGGGAGCCUGAUGCAGCAACGCCGCGUGCGGGAUGACGGCCUUCGGGUUGUAAACCGCUUUCGCCUGUGACGAAGCGUGAGUGACGGUAAUGGGUAAAGAAGCACCGCCUAACUACGUG
rnacentral:rRNA from 1 species